CCGCACUUGGGCUAAAGCCUUAAUUCUAAAACAGCAUCUCUAGUGAAAACUGCAGAGUCCACAAUGAUUCUAACCUCUUUCUUUAGGCACAUUAUUAUGGAUUGACUGCAUAUAUUUUUUACUUUAGGCACUUUGCACAGUCACAUGAGAAAUGCUUUGUUAAAUGGCAGGUGAGCGUUAGCCUGGAAGCCUUGGGUAUCUUAUAUUUACAUGCUGCUUUACAGCUUCUGCAGCAACUUCGUCUUUUCUCAUUGGACCUUGAGAACAAUGCAGAGAUUGCAUUGUCCCCCAUGUCAGAGCCAGGAGAUCAGGGGUGCAGACGUGUGAAGUGACCCAUCCUAGAUCCCACCGCUGUUCGCAUUCUCAAGUUUGAGCUUAGAUCCUCUGCUUCCAAGCGUGAUUAAUUUCACUUUCUGUGUCUUACUCCAUGAGCCCUAAUGCUUCUGCUGAGAUUCCUAAUUCAGUGAAACCUGUUUAGGGGAUCAUCUCUGUUAGGCAGACAGCUGCUGAAAAGGCAUUCACUUUCCAAGCAUGGAUUUUAGAUUAUGGCCAAUCAAGACUCCGGCCUGGAAGAACACCUGUCAGAGACGUUUUUCUACAAGGAGAUGGUCUCUUUAAUCAUAUUUCAUUGUACUUCAGAAAAAGGUUCGUUUUAAAAUGGAGCAAAGUUUGUCAUCUUGAUACACUAGAUCUUUGAUGAUAUCAAUAAGGAAACAUCCACACCCUUUGGUUAAAAGACUCUGAGACUUCAAGGACUGCUGGCUGUUCAGAAGAGGCUGUGGUGGUUCAAGUGAGGCUCAAGGCUGUAGUUAUACCAAUCUGUUACUCCAUGAAGAGUCCAAGGCUGCUGAACAGAGUGAACCUCAGAACAGAUAGCAGUGGCACCUAGAAGAUAUAAUCUCAACAGCAGAUGAGUUAUUGAGGGAUGAUUGCUGAUUAUGGAUUCCUCUUCAUCUCUCUUAACUUAUAUUCCAAGCUGUUAACCUAGAAUAAAUCCUACUAUAUCUAAUUAAUGCAUUAAUCAAACUUUGUUUUGAAUGGAAGGGGGGAGAAUAUGUUGAUUACCCCGGCUAGUGGGAUACAAAAUAUACCUAAAGCAGAAUAUCUUUCUCCAUCAUGAAUAACAUUAAUCUCUGCAGUUCUUACAAGUGAAUAAUUAUUAUAUAGUUUGUUUCCUAUUUGUCUGGCUUGGUAUUUAUCCUUUAUGAGUUUCCAGGUGACAAUUUGUUUCAGGAAGAAUUCUCCAGAAACAAUUUUUUAAGAUUAUCGUCAAAUUCCUUAAUAAAGAGUUGAAAGCCAAACUCACUAGGUGAAAUGCAACAACAACCAAUGGGCAACAGACUGAUCUCCAACUUCCUGAAUUCUUUUUUUUUUUUUUUUUUUGAGACAGGGUCUCUCUCUGUCGAUCAGGCUGGAGUGCAGUGGCUCAAUCUUGGCUCACUGCAGCCUCCACCUCCCAGGCCCAAGCAAUCCCGAGUAGUAGGGACUCAGGCACGCACCACGACACCUGGCUAAUUUUUUGUAUUUUUGGUAGAGAGAGGGUUUCACCAUGUUGCCCAGGCUGGUCUUGAGCUCCUGAGCUCAAAGUAUUUGCUUGCCUCAGCCUCCCAAAGUGCUGGGGUUACAGGCGUGAGCCACCGUGCCAGGCCUUUAAUUCUUAAUUGCCGCCAGGAUUGAUUGGUAAGGCUGUAGAAGAGUUGCUGUCCAUUCCAAGUCUUCCCAUCUGAAGCAACCACCAUGCCACAGCCUUAUUCUGUCCCAUGGCUGUUUUGUGCAUCUCCAAGUGUACCAGUGUGAGGCCCUCAAACACACCCAUGCCCUCUGAUGAAAUAAUGUUGGUCGUGAUAACCACAGGGAUGUCACAGCCGCCGUUCCACACUCUAACUAAUUCUUAUUUUGUUCCAACAACAACAAUUUGAAAUGGGAAGAACCACCCCAUUUUAGACAUUUCAAAACGAGGGCUUGGAUAGAUUAUGUACCUUGUCCAAGGUCACACAACCAAAUGGCAAGGUACGGACUCAACCUAGUUCCAUCUGCCUCCAGUCCAAAACCCAGAGCUCUCAACUGCCACCCUCAUUGUCUCUACUAGAUACGGGCUUCCCUGCGGUAACUGUUGAGGCUGGAAAACACAGGCCUGAGAGAACUUUUAAAUAUGAAAUGAUAACUCUUUGCCUACUGAGAUUCUUAUUUUUAAAAACCCAGAGGAAGAUCAUAUUUAUAUAUUUAUUCAACAUUCACGUAUGAUAUUUAGAUUUACAAAAUGCUUUAUAGUGUAACAGAAUGGGCAGAAAUUUUUACUCGGGCUUAUAAUUGUCUUUUCUUUCAUAUUCAUUUAUUCCUUUGAUUUAUAUAAUGUGUUCUCUGCUUGGUCUUCUGAGAUUACGUACAAUGGUAACAAAUCGAAAAUAAUAUUAAUAAAAGAUUAUUUUGUAUCACUCACAGGGAAAACUGACUGGGGCCAUGCGCCUCUCUGUUCUUUAGAAACGUUAUGCGAGAGAACAUAAUAUUGUCCCCAGAAUACUGUCUGUAAUGCCGGCUAUGCUUAUUCGUGGUGCUUUAAAAAUAAAUUUAACUCCUGUUCUUCAU
rnacentral:lncRNA from 10 species